rnacentral:rRNA from 1 species
UACGAAGGGGGCUAGCGUUGCUCGGAAUUACUGGGCGUAAAGGGAGCGUAGGCGGGCUGUUUAGUCAGAGGUGAAAGCCCAGGGCUCAACCUUGGAAUUGCCUUUGAUACUGGCAGUCUUGAGUACGGAAGAGGUAUGUGGAACUCCGAGUGUAGAGGUGAAAUGCGUAGAUAUCUGGAGGAACACCGGUGGCGAAGGCGGCAUCCUGGACCGGCACUGACGCUGAGGAGCGAAAGCCAGGGGAGCAAACGGG